rnacentral:rRNA from 1 species
CCUACGGGCGGCAGCAGUGGGGAAUAUUGGACAAUGGGGGGAACCCUGAUCCAGCCAUGCCGCGUGUGUGAAGAAGGCCCUCGGGUUGUAAAGCACUUUCAGUGAGGAAGAACGCCUGGUGGUUAAUACCCAUCAGGAAAGACAUCACUCACAGAAGAAGCACCGGCUAACUCCGUGCCAGCAGCCGCGGUAAUACGGAGGGUGCGAGCGUUAAUCGGAAUUACUGGGCGUAAAGCGCGCGUAGGUGGCUUGAUAAGCCGGUUAUGAAAGCCCCGGGCUCAACCUGGGAACGGCAUCCGGAACUGUCAAGCUAGAGUGCAGGAGAGGAAGGUAGAAUUCCCGGUGUAGCGGUGAAAUGCGUAGAGAUCGGGAGGAAUACCAGUGGCGAAGGCGGCCUUCUGGACUGACACUGACACUGAGGUGCGAAAGCGUGGGUAGCAAACAGGAUUAGAUACCCCGGUAGUC